CGGCGGACGGGUGAGUAACACGUGGAUAACCUACCUAUAAGACUGGGAUAACUUCGGGAAACCGGAGCUAAUACCGGAUAAUAUUUUGAACCGCAUGGUUCAAAAGUGAAAGACGGUCUUGCUGUCACUUAUAGAUGGAUCCGCGCUGCGUUAGCUAGUUGGUAAGGUAACGGCUUACCAAGGCAACGAUGCAUAGCCGACCUGAGAGGGUGAUCGGCCACACUGGAACUGAGACACGGUCCAG
rnacentral:rRNA from 1 species